rnacentral:rRNA from 1 species
GAUGAACGCUAGCUACAGGCUUAACACAUGCAAGUCGAGGGGUAACGAGAGGGAAGCUUGCUUUCCUUGUCGACGACCGGCGCACGGGUGAGUAACGCGUAUCCAACCUGCCCCCAACUAGGGAAUAACCUUGCGAAAGUAAGACUAAUACCCUAUAAUUUCCUCAGAUGUCAUCUGACGAGGAAUAAAGAUUUAUCGGUUGUGGAUGGGGAUGCGUCUGAUUAGCUUGUUGGCGGGGUAACGGCCCACCAAGGCAACGAUCAGUAGGGGUUCUGAUAGGAAGGUCCACCACAUUGGGACUGAGACACGGUCCAAACUCCUACGGGAGGCAGCAGUGAGGAAUAUUGGUCAAUGGGCGGAAGCUUGAACCAGCCAAGUGGCGUGCAGGAUGACGGCCCUAUGGGUUGUACACUGCUUUUAUACAGGAAUAAAGUUAGCCACGUGUGGUUAUUUGUAGGUACUGUAUGAAUAAGGACCGGCUAAUUCCGUGCCAGCCGCCGCAGUAA